CGUUGGCUUGCAGUCACGAAAUGCCUCAAAUAUUCUUCCAGCAGAUGAUUGAUCCUUUCGGUUUGCCCAUCUGUUUGGGGAUGAUUUGCUGUUGAAAAUGACGCAGGGUUUUAGUUGACGGGUGACCAAACCGAGAAUGCCACAGUGACGUAGAGAGCUUUUGUGCCGUGAGGGCAGAUGGGAGACUGGGAGCCACCGGCCAGUAGU
rnacentral:lncRNA from 1 species